rfam:Buttiauxella agrestis ATCC 33320 GBAG.assembly.014, whole genome shotgun sequence.
UUGGGGCUUGAAACAUGAUUCGCAGCAACCGCCUACUAGGUCUACUACUAAACGCAACUUCAUUGCGCGGUAGGCUGGUGGGCGAAAUCAAGCGUUGAUUCAAGCCAUCAGACAGAAAAAACCCGCGCCACUGCGCGGGUUUUUUU